rnacentral:rRNA from 1 species
CUGGUGCCAGCAGCCGCGGUAAUUCCUGCUCCAAUAGCGUAUAUUAAAAUUGUUGCAGUUAAAAAGCUCGUAGUUGAAUUUCUGCUGCAUUGCUUUUGCUCCUUUACGAGUCUUUGCAUUGUGGCUUAUUUCGGACUUUGUUUUACAAUGUCCGGAUGUUUACUUUGAGAAAAUUAGAGUGCUCAAAGCAGGCUUUCGCCUUGAAUAGUUUAGCAUGGAAUAAUAAAGUAGGACUUUGGUUCUAUUUUGUUGGUUUUAGGUACCAAAGUAAUGGUUAAUAGGAACAGUUGGGGGCAUUCGUAUUUAACUGUCAGAGGUGAAAUUCUUAGAUUUGUUAAAGACGAACUACUGCGAAAGCAUUUGCCAAGGAUGUUUUCAUUAAUCAAGAACGAAAGUUAGGGGAUCGAAGACGAUCAGAUACCGUCGUAGUCCUAACCAUAAACUAUGCCGACUAGAGAUUGGAGGUCGUCAGUUUUUACGACUCCUUCAGCACCUUGAGAGAAAUCAAAGUCUUUGGA